UACGUAGGGUGCGAGCGUUGUCCGGAAUUAUUGGGCGUAAAGGGCUCGUAGGCGGUUUGUCGCGUCGGGAGUGAAAACACCGGGCUUAACUCGGUGCUUGCUUUCGAUACGGGCAGACUAGAGGUAUGAAGGGGAGAACGGAAUUCCUGGUGUAGCGGUGAAAUGCGCAGAUAUCAGGAGGAACACCGGUGGCGAAGGCGGUUCUCUGGGCAUUACCUGACGCUGAGGAGCGAAAGUGUGGGGAGCGAACAGG
rnacentral:rRNA from 1 species